rnacentral:rRNA from 1 species
CCUACGGUGGGCAGCAGUGGGGAAUAUUGCGCAAUGGGCGAAAGCCUGACGCAGCGACGCCGCGUGAGGGAUGAAGGUCUUCGGAUCGUAAACCUCUGUCAGCAGGGAAGAACGGUCACUGUGCUAAUCAGCAGUGAAUUGACGGUACCUGCAAAGGAAGCACCGGCUAACUCCGUGCAAGCCGCCGCGGUAAUACGGAGGGUGCGAGCGUUAAUCGGAAUUACUGGGCGUAAAGCGCUCGUAGGCGGUAUGUCAAGUCAAGGGGGAAAUCCCCGGGCUAAACGUGGAAAAUGCCUUUGAAACGGGCAAACUGGAGUGUGUGAGAGGAUAGUGGAAUUCCAGGUGUAGGAGUGAAAUCCGUAGAUAUCUGGAGGAACAUCAGUGGCGAAGGCGACUAUCUGGCACAUAACUGACGCUGAGGAGCGAAAGCGUGGGUAGCAAACAGGAUUAGAUACCCGAGUAGUC